CCUACGGGGUGCUGCAGUGGGGAAUAUUGGACAAUGGGCGAAAGCCUGAUCCAGCCAUGCCGCGUGUGUGAAGAAGGCCUUCGGGUUGUAAAGCACUUUCAGUGGGGAAGAAAGCCUUGGGGCUAAUACCCUCGAGGAAGGACAUCACCCACAGAAGAAGCACCGGCUAACUCCGUGCCAGCAGCCGCGGUAAUACGGAGGGUGCGAGCGUUAAUCGGAAUUACUGGGCGUAAAGCGCGCGUAGGCGGUCUGAUAAGCCGGUUGUGAAAGCCCCGGGCUCAACCUGGGAACGGCAUCCGGAACUGUCAGACUAGAGUGCAGGAGAGGAAGGUAGAAUUCCCGGUGUAGCAGUGAAAUGCGUAGAGAUCGGGAGGAAUACCAGUGGCGAAGGCGGCCUUCUGGACUGACACUGACGCUGAGGUGCGAAAGCGUGGGUAGCAAACAGGAUUAGAUACCCUAGUAGUC
rnacentral:rRNA from 1 species